CCUAGAGGCUCAGAUGGUAAAGAAUCUGCCUGCAAUGCAGAAGACCCAGGUUCAAUCCCUGGGUCAGGGA
rnacentral:tRNA from 1 species